AGCCUGCCCAGUGACUUAGUUCAACGGCCGCGGUAUCCUAACCGUGCGAAGGUAGCGUAAUCACUUGUUCUUUAAAUGAGGACUAGUAUGAAUGGCAUCACGAGGGCUAUACUGUCUCCUUUUUUUAAUCAGUGAAACUAAUCCCCCCGUGAAGAAGCGGGGAUAAGUAUAUAAGACGAGAAGACCCUAUGGAGCUUUAAACAAACUAACAAUUGUUUCAAAAACUCUACUUUCAGAAAUACCACUAAAAGCAUAACAUUUUGAUUUAAAAUUUUAGACUGGGGUGAUCACGGAGUAAAAAAUAACCUCCAUGCUGAAAGGUAAAAAUCCCUGAGCAAAAAUCCACAACUUCAUGCACUAGAAAACUAACAUAAAUUGACCCAAUAUUUUGAUCAACGAACCAAGUUACCCUAGGGAUAACAGCGCAAUCCACUUCAAGAGCCCUUAUCGACAAGUGGGUUUACGACCUCGAUGUUGGAUCAGGGUAUCCUAGUGGUGCAGCCGCUACUA
rnacentral:rRNA from 1 species